AAACUCAAAUGAAUUGACGGGGGAGCACCACAACGGGUGGAGCUUGCGGUUUAAUUGGAUUCAACGCCGGAAAUCUUACCGGGACCGACAGCAAUAUGAAGGCCAGGCUGAAGACUUUGCCGGAUUAGCUGAGAGGUGGUGCAUGGCCGUCGUCAGUUCGUACUGUGAAGCAUCCUGUUAAGUCAGGCAACGAGCGAGACCCACGUCCACAGUUGCCAGCAUACCCUCCGGGGUGAUGGGUACACUGUGGAGACCGCCGCUGCUAAAGCGGAGGAAGGAAUGGGCAACGGUAGGUCAGUAUGCCCCGAAUCUCCCGGGCUACACGCGGGCUACAAUGGUUGGUACAAUGGGCAUCUACCCCGAAAGGGGAAGGAAAUCUCUUAAAGCCAAUCGUAGUUCGGAUUGAGGGCUGCAACUCGCCCUCAUGAAGCUGGAAUCCGUAGUAAUCGCGUUUCAACAGAACGCGGUGAAUACGUCCCUGCUCCUU
rnacentral:rRNA from 1 species